GUUUAUUGAGUUUCGAGUUUGAAUUGCUUAAUGAUGUAGACACUACAUGUGCCUUUCUUCAUGCUAAACCAAUAUCAUGUUAAGAACUAUAGUGAGUUUGUUAUGCAACCACAAGACUUACUAUGGACAUUGAUGUGGGGUUAUCUUAGUGCAUAUUUAAUGCUUACAGUAUUUUGGAUAUGUUGCUUUAUUGUGCAAUCACAAGGG
rnacentral:lncRNA from 1 species